rnacentral:rRNA from 1 species
AGAGUUUGAUCCCUGCUCAGAUUGAACGCUGGCGGCAUGCCUUACACAUGCAAGUCGAACGGCAGCAUAGGAGCUUGCUCCUGAUGGCGAGUGGCGAACGGGUGAGUAAUAUAUCGGAACGUGCCCUAGAGUGGGGGAUAACUAGUCGAAAGACUAGCUAAUACCGCAUACGAUCUAAGGAUGAAAGUGGGGGAUCGCAAGACCUCAUGCUCCUGGAGCGGCCGAUAUCUGAUUAGCUAGUUGGUGGGGUAAAAGCCUACCAAGGCGACGAUCAGUAGCUGGUCUGAGAGGACGACCAGCCACACUGGGACUGAGACACGGCCCAGACUCCUACGGGAGGCAGCAGUGGGGAAUUUUGGACAAUGGGGGCAACCCUGAUCCAGCAAUGCCGCGUGAGUGAAGAAGGCCUUCGGGUUGUAAAGCUCUAUUGUCAGGGAAGAAACGGUUCCAGCUAAUAUCCAGAGCUAAUGACGGUACCUGAAGAAUAAGCACCGGCUAACUACGUGCCAGCAGCCGCGGUAAUACGUAGGGUGCAAGCGUUAAUCGGAAUUACUGGGCGUAAAGCGCGUGCAGGCGGUUGUGUAAGACAGAUGUGAAAUCCCCGGGCUCAACCUGGGAAUUGCAUUUGUGACUGCACGGCUAGAGUGUGUCAGAGGGGGG